CUUUUAAACCUAAUCAAAACAAAAUAUAGUAUUCAUGGGAUUAGGUUUAUUGUAAUGGAUUUGAGGAUUUGGUAGAUAAAAGCAGUAAAUUGUGGAUUGAAGAAUUUUCUUGUAAGAGAUGUUUCAUGUAAGGGAAGGAUCAUAUUCUGGAACAUUUGUUAGCUUUGGUUACUUCUCACUAUCUACAUAUACAUUUUUGCAGUCAUUUUAUGAAAUAAAUCCUCGAGUUGGAACUUAUUUACACGGAAUGCCAUUGACAUUAAUAUUCCUAAUUAGUAGCAUUUUCUUAUCUAAUAUAUCUCCAUUAAUUAUAAUUACUUAAAAAAUGAGAAAUUUUAGGACAUUAUUAAUAUAUACUUGA
rnacentral:sRNA from 1 species